rnacentral:rRNA from 1 species
GACGAACGCUGGCGGCGUGCUUAACACAUGCAAGUCGAACGGAAAGGCCCUGCUUUUGUGUGGUGCUCGAUUGGCGAACGUGUGAGUAUCACGUGAGUAACCUGCCCUUUACUUUGGUAUAACUUCAGGAAACUGGGGCUAAUACCGUAUAUGUUCUCCUGCUGCAUGUUGUGGGUUGGAAAGUUUCGGCGGUUGGGGAUGGUCUCGCGGCUUAUCAGCUUGUUGGUGGGGUAGUGGCUUACCAAGGCUUUGACGGGUAGCCGGCAUGAGAGGGUGACCGGCGAAAAUGGGACUGAGAGACGGAACAGACUACAAGGGGAGGCAGCAGAGGGGAAGAGUGCAGAAUGGGAGGAAGCAUGAUGAAGAAAAGCAGCGAGCGGGAAGAAGGCCUUGGGGGUGAAAAAAGAAAUAGAAUGAGAAGAAGAGAGAGUGACGGUAAUGGGUAAAGAAGCACCGGCUAACUACGUG